GAACACGGCACAGUCAUUCUAAGAAAGAAUCUCAAGAUUUAAAAGUAGAUACCUAACAGCAUUCCUGUUUUUAAAUCAUGGCUUUGCCUGUGCAGAUACUACUUACUAAAUCUAAACAUCACUAGUCCAUUGUUUCUUGAACAGCUUGUGUGACACAUUAUCACCACAGAAAUCCUAUUUCAUCUUUGUGGGGAAAAAAAAAGCCCUUGUGUUUCCCAAAACAAAACCCAAUAGGCUUAUUUGAAGCAUUUCUUGCACUCAGCUUGCUUGUUGGGAUGAUGGAAAUUUACUCUAAAUAUUUCACUUUAAAACGCUCUUUCAACUACUUCAUCUCUGCUGUUAUUUCCAUCACAUAACAAAAUAUUAUGGAGACUAGUAAAAUUUGUAUUUCUUGUGUUCUGUAGCAAAUACUGUUCUCAAGGUAUUUUUUUUCUUCUCUAUUUGGAGAGAUGAGAGAUGAGAUGAAACUUGUCUCUUGUGAUGGGGGUCAUGUAUAAAAGGCAGAAUUUCUGGUCUGGGAUGGCGCUGUGAUAUGUCUUGCAGUGUUUGCAAGUUGAUGCAAUCAAGCCAAAGCUCUUCAGAGAUAUUGGAAUUAUGAAAAUAUUUCUAGGGACAAUAGGUAGCAUGAAUCCAUGUAAAAAUACCUAUUUGGAGGCUAAACUAUCCGGCAUUCAUUUGACAGAGAUCUGUUAAAACAGAACUAACAGAAAACCAGUAAACACCAUCAAAUUCUAUUCCCCUGAGGUCAACUUAUCGUACGUCAGUAUAUUGGGCACAAGUUGGUUUUUUAAGCAUUUGGUACUUUUCUAUAGAAGAAAUAUGGGACUCCCCUUAGAACCAAAGUUGCAAGAAUUCAGAGCAAAAGUACCAUCUGACUUAAGAAGAACUAGCCUAAUUUCAGUAACACAGAGGGCUGGCUUCUCUGUGAAUGUGAUGGAAGACGCUGGCAGCAUAGGUGGCUACCAUUCCUCAAGAGAACCACCACUCCUCUCUUAUUUGAGUGAAAUAGGAGCAGCUAGGGAAUAUUUCAGAAAGGUUUUGUGAGAUUAGGAAGCGGUUACUCCUGAAACCCAGCAGAAGUUGGGCCCUGACCGCACAUCUAAUUCUCAAAUAAAUACUGCAUUUGCUCCAGUGUAAGUAUUGGUUGGGUUCCUCUCUGCUCCAACUGAAAACAGAGAAUACCUCUCAUUAGAGAAACAGUGCCGCUGACAAUGUCAUAGUGUCUCACAGGGGAGUGAGAGAGAAGAAAAGAGAAAGGUGGUUUUGUUUCCAAUGUAGGCCAGAAAGCAGCUGCCAGAGGUUAGGUGCAGCCAUGGAGAGCAGGAUUUCCACAGGAUCUUCACAGUAGUUAAGAAAAAUCACAUUCCGAUUCACAGACAUCUCACAGCAACAUCCCCUGUGCCCUGCUUUUAUUUUGCUCUGGAGCUCUUCAGAGCAAGAAAGAAGGUGGAAUCCUAUACCUAUAGAAAGGAGUUAUUUCUAUAUGGUGGAUGGUGUUGCUGAUUAUAGGAGAUACUCUAAGGAAAAUCUGAACAGAUUUUAAAGGCUUGACAGUAUGUGCAUUGUCUAUCAAAGCUUCAUCUGGAAAUAAACUUUUCAUCCUCUUUCACUCAUACUUCGAACAGGGCAGUCAAACCCCUGGACUGGCUUAGUGAUUUACAUUGAAUCAAGAUCAACUGACAGGUGCUCCUUUUUCCAGUGGAAUGCCACCUCCUUUGGGAAUGGGAAAAGUAAAUGUGACACUUUAUUGUUGUCUUGAGAAUUUGAAAUGUUUUAUACUGCAAGCUGUGAAUGCAGGAAGAGAAAGGAAAUUAACAGUGCUGAUCUAAUCUUAGAUUUUCUGUGUAAACUGACAUUGUGCCAGGAUACUGAUGCAAAACUGUAUUUUAGUCUAAGAAAUGUAUAGAUUUUUUAAUGUAUCAAAAUAAAGGUUUUCUUUUUAAGUAAGA
rnacentral:lncRNA from 1 species